GUUGCCAGCGGUCCGGCCCGGGGAACUCAAAGGAGACUGCCAGUGAUAAACUGGAGGAAGUGGGGAUGACGUCAAGUCAUCAUGGCCCUUACGACCAGGGCUACACACGUGCUACAAUGGCGCAUACAAAGAGAAGCGACCUCGCGAGAGCAAGCGGACCUCAUAAAGUGCGUCGUAGUCCGGAUUGGAGUCUGCAACUCGACUCCAUGAAGUCGGAAUCGCUAGUAAUCGUGGAUCAGAAUGCCACGGUGAAUACGUUCCCGGGCCUU
rnacentral:rRNA from 1 species